AUGCCUUUGUGGGGGGUGGGGGGGGGGGUGGGAGGCAGGAAACUUCCCGAAGGCCCCCCUCUGGCAAGAGCAAGAACAGAGGAUGCUACAGAGGGGUCAGGAGUCUGCAGUUCCUCGUGGCCACAGAGCUCUCCCCUCCCUCCUGAAGGGCAGAGUGGUUCAGCUUCUCUCUGUCAACUGGAAGUUGGCCCCACACUCUUCACGGAGCUCCUGGCCCAGCCGUGCUCAGUGGGCUCCAUCAGUGUGAGAAACGAAGUGUUGGCACGCCGAGAGGCUGGGCGGUCCUUCUGGCUUACACCAUCCGUCUGUGGAAGACUGUCUUUUUUGGAGUUCCCUGGUGGCCUCGUGGUGAAGGAUCAGGCAUUGUCACUAUGGUGGCUUGCAUCACCGCUAUGGUGGGGGUUCGAUCCCUCACCUGGGAACUUCCACAUGCCAUGGGCAUGGUCCCCCCCCACCAAAAAAAAAUGCUGUCAUUCUCCAAGCAAGUAUCAGACUUACCAGCACCCAGCAGGGCCUGGAAAGCUAAUCCAUUCCAAGUGGUGUAAUGUGAGGUGUGGCCCACGCUGUGAUGUGGGCACCAAAUGACCUGACCUCUCCAGGCACCAACAGCAGGGGUCCCUUCACAAGCAGACCUUGCAGGUGUGUGUUCCUGACCGCAGCAUCUACCUUUCAGGAGGAGGAAGGGCGGUUCCUUCAAUAUGUCACGACAGCAUUUUGGGCUGGGUGUGGAACCAAAAUUGCCCCACCAGGGUGAAUUCCUACUCCAACCAGGCACUGGGGGUGGGAGUUACCCCCCCUCCUCUGGCAGCACUGCCCACGGGUGUCCACUCCCUGGAGCAGGAGCGGGCGCCUAGAACAUUCCAGGGCGGCAACCUCCUGGUAUCACCUCCUUCACCGCCACAGCUUCAGGCAGCUGAAACUGUACAGAAACCUGCGUUUCUCCUCCCCACACUCACCUGUCAUUGGAGAGCAGUGCCCCAGGCAAGAGAUUAAUGGGAUUUCACCAGUUAGGCGGGGCUGGUCUUAGUAAUGCCUGUCAGGGAGGUUUCCAGCUGGAGUGGGGAGAAAACACACCCACCUUCCUGGUGACUUCACCCUUGAGUAAAGAGAAAGGAAUGAGCUCCUCGGGGCAAAUCAACCAGGAUUCCGAGGGAAAAAAGUCUGCCAAGGAGCGCAGAGCCUUACCCAUGCUGUGGAGUCAUCAAUAGGGCUCACAUCUGGAAUUUUCCUCGACCACGAGAUCACUGUGUCCUGAAUUCCCCGAGGGGACAUUGUGGCCAGAGCAGGUGUCAGCUCUGCGGCACAGGUGUCCUAGAGCUGAAAUCACCAAAGGACCCCUCUCUCACUCUUCCUGCCAUCAUUCUACGGAUGAUAUUUAAUUUUUACCAACCAACAGGAUUGCAUUUUGUUGAAGACUCACCUCUGUUUCUGGGUCAUCGUCUGCAGCACAUGUGCAUGGCACAGAAUUCAAAAGAUGGAGCAGAUGUUGGCUUCCACCAUUGUCCCGAGGACGCUGCCCCUUACCGGGGACAACAUUAUCAGCUCCGGGUGUAUCCUUACAGAUACUUAGCCCUUCCAAGGGCUC
ensembl:lncRNA